rnacentral:rRNA from 1 species
GGGGUCUUACACAUGCAGUCGAACGAGGCUGGGGGGGCACUCUCCAGUCGAGUGGCGGACGGGUUGAGUAACACGUGGGUAACCUGCCCGGAAGUGGGGAAUACCUCGGGGAAACUCGAGCUAAUACCGCAUGACACCGUCGGGACGAAAGUUCUGACGAUCAAAGCGGGGUCGCAAGAUCUCGCGCUACCGGAUGGGCCCGCGCCCGAUUAGCUAGUUGGCGAGGUAAUGGCUCACCAAGGCUUCGAUCGGUAACCGGCCUGAGAGGGCGAUCGGUCACACCGGAACUGAGACACGGUCCGGACUCCUACGGGAGGCAGCAGUGGGGAAUCUUGCGCAAUGGGCGAAAGCCUGACGCAGCAACGCCGCGUGGAGGAUGAAGGCCCUUGGGUUGUAAACUCCUGUCGGUUGGGAAGAAAUUGUUCGGGGCUAAUACCUCCGGACAUUGACUGUACCAGCAAAGGAAGCCCCGGCUAACUCUGUGCCAGCAGCCGCGGUAAUACAGA